GACGAACGCUGGCGGCGUGCUUAACACAUGCAAGUCGAACGGUGAAGGGGAGCUUGCUCCCCGGAUCAGUGGCGAACGGGUGAGUAACACGUGGGCAACCUGCCCCAGACUUCGGGAUAACGCUUCGAAAGAGGUGCUAAUACCGGAUACGAACUCCUUGGGCAUCCUUGGGGUUGGAAAGUUUUUCGGUCUGGGAUGGGCCCGCGGCCUAUCAGCUUGUUGGUGAGGUAACGGCUCACCAAGGCGACGACGGGUAGCCGGCCUGAGAGGGCGAGCGGCCACACUGGGACUGAGACACGGCCCAGACUCCUACGGGAGGCAGCAGUGGGGAAUAUUGCGCAAUGGGCGAAGGCCUGACGCAGCAACGCCGCGUGAGGGAUGACGGCCUUCGGGUUGUAAACCUCUUUCAGCAGGGAAGAAGCGAAAGUGACGGUACCUGCAGAAGAAGCACCGGCUAACUACGUGCCAGCCGCCGCGGUAACAC
rnacentral:rRNA from 1 species